UACGUAGGGUGCGAGCGUGUCCGGAAUUAUUGGGCGUAAAGAGCUUGUAGGCGGUUUGUCGCGUCUGCUGUGAAAAUCCGGGGCUCAACCCCGGACUGCAGUGGGUACGGGCAGGCUAGAGUGUGGUAGGGGAGGACUGGAAUUCCUGGUGUAGCGGUGGAAUGCGCAGAUAUCAGGAGGAACACCGAUGGCGAAGGCAGGUCUCUGGGCCACUACUG
rnacentral:rRNA from 1 species